GCGGGUAGAGCUUAGUGGUAGAGUGCACACUUAGCACGCGUGAAGUCCUGGGUUCGAUCCCCCGAACCUCCA
rnacentral:tRNA from 1 species